rnacentral:rRNA from 1 species
UAGGACGAACGCUGGGCGGCGUGCUUAACACAUGCAAGUCGAACGGAAGGUCUCUUCGGGAGAUACUCGAGUGGCGAACGGGUGAGGUAACGACGUGGGUAAUCUGCCCUGCACUUCGGGAUAAGCCUGGGGAAACUGGGUCUAAUACCGAAUAGGACCAUAAGGCGCAUGCCUAUUGGUGAAAGCUUUUGCGGUGUGGGAUGGGCCCGCGGCCUAUCAGCUUGUUGGUGGGGUGACGGCCUACCAAGGCGACGACGGGUAGCCGGCCUGAGAGGGUGUCCCGGCCACACUGGGGACUGAGAUACGGCCCAGACUCACGGGAGCAGCAGUGGGGAAUAUUGCACAAUGGGCGCAAGCCUGAUGCAGCGACGCGCGUGGGGGAUGACGGCCUUCGGUGUAACCUCUUUCACCAUCGACGA